rnacentral:rRNA from 1 species
UGAUCCUGGCUCAGGAUGAACGCUAGCGGCAGGCUUAAUACAUGCAAGUCGAGGGGUAACAGGCCGCUUCGGUGGUGCUGACGACCGGCGCACGGGUGCGUAACGCGUAUGCAACCUACCUUUAACUGGGACAUAGCCCCGAGAAAUCGGGAUUAAUAUCCCAUAAUAUCCAGAAAACGCAUGUUUUCUGGAUUAAAGUUCCGGCGGUUAAAGAUGGGCAUGCGUGGCAUUAGUUAGUUGGUGAGGUAACGGCUCACCAAGGCAAUGAUGCCUAGGGGUCCUGAGAGGGUUUUCCCUCACACUGGUACUGAGACACGGACCAGACUCCUACGGGAGGCAGCAGUAAGGAAUAUUGGGCAAUAGGCGCAAGCCUGACCCAGCCAUGCCGCGUGCAGGAUGACGGCCCUAUGGGUUGUAAACUGCUUUUGUAUGGGAAAAAACUCCCGCACGUGUGCGGGACUGAUUGUACCAUACGAAUAAGCAUCGGCUAACUCCGUGCCAGCAGCCGCGGUAAUACGGAGGAUGCAAGCGUUAUCCGGAUUUAUUGGGUUUAAAGGGUGCGCAGGCGGAUUAGUAAGUCAGUGGUGAAAGCUCCCGGCUCAACCGGGAAAAUGCCAUUGAUACUGUUAAUCUUGAGUACAGUUGAGGUUGGCGGAAUGUAUCAUGUAGCGGUGAAAUGCAUAGAUAUGAUACAGAACACCGAUAGCGAAGGCAGCUUACCAAACUGUAACUGACGCUCAUGCACGAAAGCGUGGGGAGCAAACAGGAUUAGAUACCCUGGUAGUCCACGCUGUAAACUAUGAUCACUCGCUGUUGGCGAUACACUGUCAGCGGCUUAGCGAAACGUGUUAGGUGAUCCACCUGGGGAGUACGAUCGC